ACAUCUAGUAAACUAGAAGCUAAGAAAAUUUGUUAAUUUUGUCCAAUCCAGCUUGCCAACGCCUGCAAUUCCUGCCUCGGAUAUGGAUUGACAGGGCUAUUUCUCUGCACAGUUGAGAUUCAUCAAAUGCUUUCCUAUUAAAUCUGAUGUUGUUUCUUUCUCGCCAGAUAAGAGCAACAGUGUUGAUGAAGGCACAUGCUGUUAUACUAUUAAGUGCCACUCUACUCUUUGCCUUGCUACACACCCACAACA
rnacentral:lncRNA from 1 species